UACGUAGGGUGCAAGCGUUGUCCGGAAUUAUUGGGCGUAAAGAGCUCGUAGGCGGUUUGUCGCGUCGAAUGUGAAAACCCGGGGCUCAACCCCGGGCCUGCAUUCGAUACGGGCAGACUAGAGUUCGGUAGGGGAGUCUGGAAUUCCUGGUGUAGCGGUGAAAUGCGCAGAUAUCAGGAGGAACACCAGUGGCGAAGGCGGGACUCUGGGCCGAUACUGACGCUGAGGAGCGAAAGCGUGGGGAGCAAACAGG
rnacentral:rRNA from 1 species